CCUACGGGGGGCAGCAGUGGGGAAUAUUGCACAAUGGGGGAAACCCUGAUGCAGCGACGCCGCGUGAGUGAAGAAGUAUUUCGGUAUGUAAAGCUCUAUCAGCAGGGAAGAAAAUGACGGUACCUGAUUAAGAAGCCCCGGCUAACUACGUGCCAGCAGCCGCGGUAAUACGUAGGGGGCAAGCGUUAUCCGGAUUUACUGGGUGUAAAGGGAGCGUAGACGGCAGCACAAGUCUGGAGUGAAAUGCCGGGGCUAAACCCCGGAACUGCUUUGGAAACUGUGCAGCUAGAGUGCAGGAGAGGUAGGGGGAAUGCCGAGGGGAGCGGUGAAAUGCGUAGAUAUUAGGAGGAACACGAGGGGCGAGGGCGGUUUACUGGACUGUAACUGACGUGGAGGCUCGAAAGCGUGGGGAGAAAACAGGAUUAGAUACCCUUGUAGUC
rnacentral:rRNA from 1 species